rnacentral:rRNA from 1 species
AUGCCUCCCCGGCGCUGCAGUGCCUUCAUGCCUCUAAGCGGGCUUGGCAGCAGCGCGCGUGGCGGAAGAGGGCACCGGCAGCUGCGAGGAGGAUUGAACAAGGGAAGCCGGAGAUCUGGGAGCGAUGGCAUGACGGUUGACCUUACCUGCAACCUCUUGUGCCAAUCUCCCCCCUGCCAGCGCCGCCCGGUCGAAUCAUUCACUUCUCGUGGCUCAUCUCUCAUGUUAAUGUGUUUAGUAUGUGAGAUCCGAACACGCCCUAACUUCCACAUGAAUCUAAUUCUGCCAUGUUCUCUCAACCGUUGCCUGAUGGCCAUCUUAUGUUUGGUGGCUUGGGGGAGUAGGCUUAGUUUUCUUAAUCAGUUUUGGAUUUCUCAAAUUUUGGUGUGUGCAUUUGGGCUUAUGGAGUUAGCCAUUUUGGUUGGUCUAUUUUGA